GACGAACGCUGGCGGCGUGCCUAAUACAUGCAAGUCGAGCGCAGGAAAUCAUCCGAACCCUUCGGGGGGGGACGUUGAUGGAAUGAGCGGCGGACGGGUGAGUAACACGUAAAGAACCUGCCCCCAGGUCUGGGCUAACCACGAGAAAUCGGGGCUAAUACCGGAUGGGUCAUCGGACCGCAUGGUCCGAGGACGAAAGGCGCUUCGGCGUCGCCUGGGGAUGGCUUUGCGGUGCAUUAGCUAGUUGGUGGGGUAAUGGCCCACCAAGGCGACGAUGCAUAGCCGACCUGAGAGGGUGAUCGGCCACACUGGGACUGAGACACGGCCCAGACUCCUACGGGAGGCAGCAGUAGGGAAUCUUCCACAAUGGACGAAAGUCUGACGGAGCAACGCCGCGUGAACGAUGAAGGCCUUCGGGUCGUAAAGUUCUGUUGUAAGGGAAGAACAAGUGCCGCAGGCAAUGGCGGCACCUUGACGGUACCUUGCGAGAAAGCCACGGCUAACUACGUGCCAGCCGCCGCGGUAAUAC
rnacentral:rRNA from 1 species